rnacentral:rRNA from 1 species
AGAGUUUGAUCCUGGCUCAGGAUGAACGCUGGCGGUAUGCUUAACACAUGCAAGUCGAACGGUCUUUUCGGAGAUAGUGGCGGACGGGUGAGUAACGCGUGAGAAUCUAGCUUUAGGUUCGGGACAACCAUUGGAAACGGUGGCUAAUACCGGAUGUGCCGAGAGGUAAAAGGCUUGCUGCCUAGAGAUGAGCUCGCGUCUGAUUAGCUAGUUGGUAGUGUAAGGGACUACCAAGGCGACGAUCAGUAGCUGGUCUGAGAGGAUGAUCAGCCACACUGGGACUGAGACACGGCCCAGACUCCUACGGGAGGCAGCAUUGGGGAAUUUUCCGCAAUGGGCGAAAGCCUGACGGAGCAAUACCGCGUGAGGGAGGAAGGCUCUUGGGUUGUAAACCUCUUUUCUCAAGGAAUAAGAAAGUGAAGGUACUUGAGGAAUAAGCAUCGGCUAACUCCGUGCCAGCAGCCGCGGUAAUACGGAGGAUGCAAGCGUUAUCCGGAAUGAUUGGGCGUAAAGCGUCCGCAGGUGGUGAUGAAAGUCUGCUGUCAAAGAAUCAGGCUUAACCUGAUCAAGGCAGUGGAAACUACAUGACUAGAGUGCGUUCGGGGCAGAAGGAAUUCCUGGUGUAGCGGUGAAAUGCGUAGAUAUCAGGAAGAACACCGGUGGCGGAAGCGUUCUGCUAGGCCGUAACUGACACUGAGGGACGAAAGCUAGGGGAGCGAAUGGGAUUAGAUACCCCAGUAGUCCUAGCCGUAAACGAUGGAUACUAGGCGUUGCUUGUAUCGACCCGAGCAGUGCCGUAGCUAACGCGUUAAGUAUCCCGCCUGGGGAGUACGCACGCAAGUGUGAAACUCAAAGGAAUUGACGG